rnacentral:rRNA from 1 species
UACGUAGGGCGCAAGCGUUGUCCGGAAUUAUUGGGCGUAAAGAGCUCGUAGGCGGUUUUGUCGCGUCUGCCGUGAAAAGUCCCGGGGCUCAACUCCGGAUCUGCGGUGGGUACGGGCAGACUAGAGUGAUGUAGGGGAGACUGGAAUUCCUGGUGUAGCGGUGAAAUGCGCAGAUAUCAGGAGGAACACCGAUGGCGAAGGCAGGUCUCUGGGCAUUAACUGACGCUGAGGAGCGAAAGCAUGGGAGCGAACAGG